rnacentral:rRNA from 1 species
UACGGAAGGUGCAAGCGUUAAUCGGAAUUACUGGGCGUAAAGCGUGCGUAGGCGGUCCACUAAGUCGGGUGUGAAAUCCCCGGGCUCAACCUGGGAACUGCAUCCGAUACUGGUGAACUAGAAUCUGGCAGAGGUUAGCGGAAUUCCUGGUGUAGCGGUGAAAUGCGUAGAUAUCAGGAGGAACAUCAAUGGCGAAGGCAGCUAACUGGGUCAAGAUUGACGCUGAGGUACGAAAGCGUGGGGAGCAAACAGG